AUUGAACGCUGGCGGCAGGCCUAACACAUGCAAGUCGAACGAGUGGCGGACGGGUGAGUAAUGUCUGGGAAACUGCCUGAUGGAGGGGGAUAACUACUGGAAACGGUAGCUAAUACCGCAUACCAUCGGAUGUGCCCAGAUGGGAUUAGCUAGUAGGUGGGGUAAAGGCUCACCUAGGCGACGAUCCCUAGCUGGUCUGAGAGGAUGACCAGGCACACUGGAACUGGAGACCGGGCCAAGCCCCCACGGGAGGGAGAAGAGGGGAUCUUUGCACAAUGGGGGAAACCCGGACGAGCACAGCCGGGGGGUGGAAGAAGGGUUUCGGGGCGUAAAGUCUUUUGUUAAGGAAGGCGGUACUUGACCAGAAAGGGCCGGCUAACUACGUGCCAGCAGCCGCGGUAAUUC
rnacentral:rRNA from 1 species